rfam:Mesocricetus auratus contig045762, whole genome shotgun sequence.
GGGAAACUGGAAGAGGGCCCUGCCCAAGGGCCCCAGAACCAAUGUGUAUGGGGCA